rnacentral:rRNA from 1 species
AGAGUUUGAUCCUGGCUCAGAACGAACGCUGGCGGCGUGCUUAACACAUGCAAGUCGCGUGCGCAGUUUCCGUAGCAAUACGGGGAUGGGCGCACGGCGCACGGGUGCGUAACACGUGGGCAAUCUGCCCUCCGAUGGGGAAUACCCCCGCGAAAGCGGGACUAAUUCCGCAUAACAUUCCUUGGAUUAACUUUCGAGGAUUCAAAGCAGCAAUGCGUCGGAGGAGGAGCCCGCGCCCGAUUAGCUAGUUGGCGAGGUAACGGCUCACCAAGGCAAUGAUCGGUAGCUGGUCUGAGAGGAUGGCCAGCCACACUGGAACUGAGACACGGUCCAGACUCCUACGGGAGGCAGCAGUGGGGAAUCUUGCACAAUGGGCGAAAGCCUGAUGCAGCGACGCCGCGUGGGGGAUGAAGCUUUUCGGAGUGUAAACCCCUUUCGACUGGGACGAAUGCCUCGCAAGAGGAGUGACGGUACCAGUAUAAGAAGCCCCGGCUAACUACGUGCCAGCAGCCGCGGUAAGACGUAGGGGGCCAGCGUUGUUCGGAAUUACUGGGUGUAAAGGGUUCGUAGGCGGUGUGGCAAGUCGGGAGUGAAAUCUCUGGGCUCAACCCAGAGACUGCUUCCGAAACUGCUGUGCUUGAGUGUGAGAGAGGCUCGUGGAAUUGCAGGUGUAGCGGUGAAAUGCGUAGAUAUCUGCAGGAACACCCGUGGCGAAAGCGGCGAGCUGGAUCACUACUGACGCUGAGGAACGAAAGCUAGGGGAGCAAACAGGAUUAGAUACCCUGGUAGUCCUAGCCCUAAACGAUCAGGACUUGGGGUGCCGCCCGUUCGGGCGUCGUCCCGGAGCUAACGCGUUAAGUCCUGCACCUGGGGAGUACGGUCGCAAGACUGAACUCAAGGAAUUGACGGGGGCCCGCACAAGCGGUGGAACAUGUGGUUCAAUUCGACGCUACGCGAGGAACCUUACCUGGGC